rnacentral:lncRNA from 1 species
UGCUGACAUCACUCUCCCUGGUAAUAUUCUUUAUUCUGACAUUUACUUUGUCCAGUAUUAAAAAUGCAUGCUUGCUUCCUUGACUGGUUCUUGACAUGAUAUAUCCUUUGCAACCCUUUAACCUGUUUGUGUCUUUAUGUUUAAAGUGUUUCUUGUAGGCAGCAAAUAAUUGGGUCUUGCUAUUGUGUCUAACCUGCCAAUUUCUGUCUUUUAGUUGGAGUGAUUAGACCAUUUACAUUUAAUGUGAUUAUUGAUAUGGUUAGGUUUAUGUCUAUAAUCUGGAAAUUCUCAAGGCAAUAAGCUUGGGCAACUGAAAGGCUCAUCUCUUUUGUUUCCUUCCUCUCAGGGGUCACAGUCCUUUGAUGCUUGAUAUAAGUAUCUUGAAAUGAUUGUUUCAUAUAUUUUGUCCAAGUUUUUGGUUGUUUCAGGUGGGAGGGUCAAUCCAGUUCCUGUUACUCCAUCUUCAGCAGAAGUGGAGGUCUGGAAAUAUCUUUUAAUGAUUAGUUGGAGCAUCUUUAACCUAUAAUGUCUUCCUUCCUUUACCUAUCUUAUACAUAGUUUUGUGAAGGGUGAAGAUUGCCCUGAGUUCAGAACAAUUUAGGCAACAUAGAAUAGUGAUGCUGAUUCUUAUGAAUGUAAUUGUGUGGCUUGGGGACUGAUACAUUUUUCAAGAAACAUCUGAUAAAAUCCAGAUAGAAAUUUUAUGUGACUUUUCAGAUAUGAAGGACCCUGGAAACUAUUAUCCCAGCAGCAAUGAGCAAACCUAGCACCCAGAUGCUGCUUUCUCAAUACCAUUCCCCAGCAAGAGAAACCAGAACUUUUUGGAGAAAUGGCUGAUUUCAGGACUGAGGCAGGGACAAGGUGACCAGGAACACCUUCUUGUGCCAGGAAGAAGGUGCUCAGAGAAUGAUGGGGACAUAUCAGAGGAACACAGAAAUCAGUUUCAAAGGAUGUUACUGGCCAAAUCUGGGACAAUAUAUCAAAAUAAAUAAUGAUGGUAAACAGACUCUAUCCAGUGAUUAAAUUAG